AACGAACGCUGGCGGCAGGCUUAACACAUGCAAGUCGAGCGCGGUCUUUCGGGACUGAGCGGCGGACGGGUGAGUAACGCGUGGGAACGUGCCCUUUGGUUCGGAAUAGCCCUGGGAAACUGGGAGUAAUGCCGAAUAAGCUCUCUGGAGGAAAGAUUUAUCGCCAAAGGAUCGGCCCGCGUCGGAUUAGGUAGUUGGUGGGGUAACGGCCUACCAAGCCGACGAUCCGUAGCUGGUUUGAGAGGAUGACCAGCCACACUGGGACUGAGACACGGCCCAGACUCCUACGGGUGGCAG
rnacentral:rRNA from 1 species